CAGGAUGAUGUUUAAAAGCAGUGGUAAGAUGGCAAGAGGUUUCCUACCCCCGUCCCCAGCUUCUUUCAAGAUUUCUUAAGUUUUCUGCAGUUUGAACAUUAUAUGCCUAGUCAACAUCCGGAUACAAGGUGUAGAAGAGAAAAGAAGCAAGAGUCUGGCAGAGAUAAACCACUGAGGAACUUAGAACUCUGUGGAAAGUGAAGGUAACUGUGGUUUGCUCCCAUCACUCUGGCAGCAAUCUGCUGUCCAACUGUUGGAAAACCCCUAUGCCCUUUCAAUGCUGAGAAAUGCUUUCAGUGGUGAGCACCUGUGGAAAACACCUAUGAGAUUCUACACAAGAUGACCAUCACCAAGGCAUAUAGUCAUCAAACUAUCCAAGAUCAGUAUGAAAGAAUAAAUCUUAAAGGCAACAAGAGAAAAUGGAUAAAUCACCAAUAAAGGAAAUUUUAUCAGACUAACAAGAGUUCUCAGCAGAAACCUUACCACCCAGAAAAGAUUGUGGGCCUAUUUUUAGCCUUCUUAUGAAAAGAAAAAUGCCA
rnacentral:lncRNA from 1 species